rnacentral:rRNA from 1 species
CCUACGGGUGGCAGCAGUGGGGAAUAUUGCACAAUGGGGGAAACCCUGAAGCAGCCACGCCGCGUGAAGGAUGAAGGCUUUCGGUGUGUAAAGCUCUUUUAUUAGAGAAGAAAAUGACGGUACCUGAUGAAUAAGCCCCGGCUAACUCCGUGCCAGCAGCCGCGGUAAUACGGAGGCGGCCAGCGUUAUCCGGAUUGACUGGGUGUAAAGCGCGCGUAGACGGUAUCGCAAGUCCGAUGUGAAAUGCUAGGGCUUAACCAUAGAACUGCAUUUGAAACUGUGAUGCUAGAGUAUAGGAGAGGUAGGUGGAAUUCGUGGUGUAGCGGUGAAAUGCGUAGAUAUCAAGAGGAACACUCAUUGCGAAGGCGGCUUACUAGA